UACGGGGGGGGCAAGCGUUGUUCGGAAUUACUGGGCGUAAAGGGCUCGUAGGCGGCCAACUAAGUCAGACGUGAAAUCCCUCGGCUUAACCGGGGAACUGCGUCUGAUACUGGAUGGCUUGAGGUUGGGAGAGGGAUGCGGAAUUCCAGGUGUAGCGGUGAAAUGCGUAGAUAUCUGGAGGAACACCGGUGGCGAAGGCGGGUCUCUGGGCCGUAACUGACGCUGAGGAGCGAAAGCGUGGGGAGCGAACAGG
rnacentral:rRNA from 1 species